UACGGGGGGGGUAAGCGUUGUUCGGAAUUACUGGGCGUAAAGGGCUCGUAGGCGGCCAACUAAGUCGGACGUGAAAUCCCUCAGCUUAACUGGGGAACUGCGUCCGAUACUGGAUGGCUUGGAUUUGGGAGAGGGAUGCGGAAUUCCAGGUGUAGCGGUGAAAUGCGUAGAUAUCUGGAGGAACACCGGUGGCGAAGGCGGCAUCCUGGACCAAUAUUGACGCUGAGGAGCGAAAGCCAGGGGGAGCAAACAGG
rnacentral:rRNA from 1 species